ACUUACGGCCAUACCAGCCUGAAUACGCCUGAUCUCGUCUGAUCUUGGAAGCUAAGCAGGGUCGGACCUGGUUAGUACUUGGAUGGGAGACUCCCUGGGAAUACCAGGUGCUGUAAGUG
rnacentral:rRNA from 1 species